GACGAACGCUGGCGGCGUGCCUAAUACAUGCAAGUAGAACGCUGAAGGAGGAGCUUGCUUCUCUGGAUGAGUUGCGAACGGGUGAGUAACGCGUAGGUAACCUGCCUGGUAGCGGGGGAUAACUAUUGGAAACGAUAGCUAAUACCGCAUAAGAGUAGAUGUUGCAUGACAUUUGCUUAAAAGGUGCAAUUGCAUCACUACCAGAUGAACCUGCGUUGUAUUAGCUAGUUGGUGGGGUAACGGCUCACCAAGGCGACGAUACAUAGCCGACCUGGUGGGGGGAUCCGCCACACUGGGACUGGGACACGGCCCAGACGCCCUCGGGAGGCAGCAGUAGGGAAUCUUCGGCAAUGGACGGAAGGCUGACCGAGCAACGCCGCGUGAGGGAAGAAGGGUUUCGGAUCGUAAAGCUCUGUUGUAAGGGAAGAACGAGUGUGAGAGUGGAAAGUGCACACUGUGACGGUAUCUUACCAGAAAGGGACGGCUAACUACGUG
rnacentral:rRNA from 1 species